AAGCUCAUACGACAUGUCACGGUGCUUGCUAUCAUAAUAGCUCUUCUGACGGGACUGAGCUGCUCUGAGGUUGUCGCGAAUGAUCCGACACAUCUCCUCAGCUUCUUCUAUCAUAUCAUUGCCAAGGAUCUGACGCUCGCCUGUCUGGGACCAGUUGAGCGGAGUACGGCACUUCCUGCCAUAGAGAAUCUCGAACGGAGCCUUGCCAGAGCUAGCUUGAUAACUGUUGUUAUAUGAGAACUCCGCGAAAG
rnacentral:lncRNA from 1 species